rnacentral:rRNA from 1 species
CCUACGGGAGGCAGCAGUGAGGAAUAUUGGUCAAUGGACGAGAGUCUGAACCAGCCAAGUAGCGUGAAGGAUGACUGCCCUAUGGGUUGUAAACUUCUUUUAUAUGGGAAUAAAACGUUCCACGUGUGGGAUUUUGUAUGUACCAUAUGAAUAAGGAUCGGCUAACUCCGUGCCAGCAGCCGCGGUAAUACGGAGGAUCCUAGCGUUAUCCGGAUUUAUUGGGUUUAAAGGGAGCGUAGGUGGAUUGUUAAGUCAGUUGUGAAAGUUUGCGGCUCAACCGUAAAAUUACAGUUGAAACUGGCAGUCUUGAGUACAGUAGAGGUGGGCGGAAUUCGUGGUGUAGCGGUGAAAUGCUUAGAUAUCACGAAGAACUCCGAUUGCGAAGGCAGUUCACUGGACUGCAACUGACACUGAGGCUCGAAAGUGUGGGUAUCAAACAGGAUUAGAUACCCUAGUAGUC